rnacentral:rRNA from 1 species
GCCGGCAGCCAUAUCACCCUGUAGCCCAAGACUAUUUACCCACUGAAGCUAAGCAGGGCUGAGCCUGGUCAGUACCUGGAUGGGAGACCUCCUGAGAAAACUAGGUUGCUGCUGGAA